GUGCAGCAGGCGCGAAAACUCCGCAAUGCGCGUAAGCGUGACGGGGUCAUCCCGAGUGCCGUCCGCUGAGGAUGGCUUUUCUCCGGUCUAACCAGCCGGAGGAAUAAGGGGAGGGCAAGUCUGGUGUCAGCCGCCGCGGUAAUACCAGCUCCCCGAGUGGUUGGGACGAUUAUUGGGUCUAAAGCGUCCGUAGCCGGCUGAGGAAGUUCUCCGUUAAAUCCAACGAUUCAAUCGUUGGGCUGCGGGGAAUACUCCUCAGCUUGGGGGCGGGGGAUGUCGGCGGUAUUUCCGGGGUAGGGGCGAAAUCCUAUAAUCCCGGAAGGACCACCAGUGGCGAAGGCGGCCGACAAAAACGCGCCCGACGGUGAGGGACGAAAGCUGGGGGAGCGAACGGGAUUAGAUAUGAAGUUGAGUUUUUGCCAGCUUCACUAGAUACCCCGGUAGUCC
rnacentral:rRNA from 1 species